AAGGCUAGGUGGGCCUGGCGACGGUUGUCCAGGUUCAAGUGCGUAGGCUGAGUGUUUAGGUAAAUCCGGACACUCUUAAGGCUGAGACACGACGUCGAGCUACUACGGUAGUGAAGUCAUUGAUGCCAUGCUUCCAGGAAAAGCCUCUAAGCUUCAGAUUGUAAGGAAUCGUACCCCAAACCGACACAGGUGGUCGGGUAGAGAAUACCAAGGCGCUUGAGAGAACUCGGGUGAAGGAACUAGGCAAAAUGGUACCGUAACUUCGGGAGAAGGUACGCUCUUGAUGGUGAAGUCCCUUGCGGAUGGAGCUGACGAGAGUCGCAGAUACCAGGUGGCUGCAACUGUUUAUUAAAAACACAGCACUGUGCAAAAUCGUAAGAUGACGUAUACGGUGUGACGCCUGCCCGGUGCCGGAAGGUUAAUUGAUGGGGUUAGCGUAAGCGAAGCUCUUGAUCGAAGCCCCGGUAAACGGCGGCCGUAACUAUAACGGUCCUAAGGUAGCGAAAUUCCUUGUCGGGUAAGUUCCGACCUGCACGAAUGGCGUAAUGAUGGCCACGCUGUCUCCACCCGAGACUCAGUGAAAUUGAAAUCGCUGUGAAGAUGCAGUGUACCCGCGGCUAGACGGAAAGACCCCGUGAACCUUUACUACAGCUUGGCACUGAACAUUGAAUCUACAUGUGUAGGAUAGGUGGGAGGCUUUGAAGACGUGACGCCAGUUGCGUUGGAGCCGUCCUUGAAAUACCACCCUUGUAUGUUUGAUGUUCUAACGUUGGCCCCUAAUCGGGGUUGCGGACAGUGCCUGGUGGGUAGUUUGACUGGGGCGGUCUCCUCCCAAAGAGUAACGGAGGAGCACGAAGGUGGGCUAAUCACGGUUGGACAUCGUGAGGUUAGUGCAAUGGCAUAAGCCCGCUUAACUGCGAGAAUGACGGUUCGAGCAGGUGCGAAAGCAGGUCAUAGUGAUCCGGUGGUUCUGAAUGGAAGGGCCAUCGCUCAACGGAUAAAAGGUACUCCGGGGAUAACAGGCUGAUACCGCCCAAGAGUUCAUAUCGACGGCGGUGUUUGGCACCUCGAUGUCGGCUCAUCACAUCCUGGGGCUGAAGUCGGUCCCAAGGGUAUGGCUGUUCGCCAUUUAAAGUGGUACGCGAGCUGGGUUUAGAACGUCGUGAGACAGUUCGGUCCCUAUCUGCCGUGGGCGUUGGAAGAUUGAAGGGGGCUGCUCCUAGUACGAGAGGACCGGAGUGGACGAACCUCUGGUGUUCGGGUUGUGUCGCCAGACGCAUUGCCCGGUAGCUAAGUUCGGAAUCGAUAACCGCUGAAAGCAUCUAAGCGGGAAGCGAGCCCUGAGAUGAGUCUU
rnacentral:rRNA from 1 species